UACGGGGGGGAGCAAGCGUUGUUCGGAUUUACUGGGCGUAAAGGGCGCGUAGGCGGUCAGCACAAGUCAGUUGUGAAAUCUCCGGGCUUAACUCGGAAAGGUCAACUGAUACUGUGCGACUAGAGUGCGGAAGGGGCAACUGGAAUUCUUGGUGUAGCGGUGAAAUGCGUAGAUAUCAAGAGGAACACCUGCGGCGAAGGCGGGUUGCUGGGCUGACACUGACGCUGAGGCGCGAAAGCUAGGGGAGCGAACAGG
rnacentral:rRNA from 1 species